rnacentral:misc_RNA from 1 species
AAUUCUCAACCAUGUCUUACAUGGCUUGGACGUUUGGGGGUCUGCUGGCAACAUCGUCAGCUCUCCUGAAAUGCAUUAGCAAAAUGGUAGACAUACACGGCCUUCCGACGUGAUAAUGAUCGUCGCGGCUGGAGUGUCGGACGCCUGUGUUUGCUUACUGUAGCGUGCUUAGCUACUAGUCGGUCGUGAGGCUGGCGAACGCGGCACGACAUUUGACG